AGCUUUUUGAAUCUGUGCUGAGGUUUCGUCAGACACCAACGCAUUAGGGUUGACCAGACAUUCAAGAUAAGUGAAGUU
rfam:Schistosoma haematobium scaffold5631_1, whole genome shotgun sequence.